AAAAAAAAAAGCCCAAAUUUGACUCACCGGAGGCAUCCUCUUACUAGGUUUAACCAGCAGAACAGCUGUUCAAAUUGAUACUUCUACCACCUACGUGUCAAUACCUAUUUAUCAGCAACCUUGCCUAUGGGCAUGUUGGAAGAAGAAACACUUGUGGUGGUGGAGGAAAUGAACAUUAAUGUGGUGACAGAGAGAAGGAUUACUUACAUGUUCAAUCCCUGGGGAGAAAGGAUGCCUUACCUCACUCAUCCUCAGCUUGGCCGAGGACUGAUGAGCAUUGGGUCUCUACUGAAAGGCAUGAUGAACCUGCCUAUGCUCUCCUAUUCUUUCUGGAAUUUGUGCUUUGCAGGAUUUGGGGGUCACGAGGCAGGCCUACAAUCCACUAUGUGAUAUUCUGGUUAACAGAGACUGUAUAUUUUCAUCCCCCUUCUCAAAUGGGAGUACUAUGGAGAAUGCCGUGGCAUACCUGGAUCCACAGACCAAAACCAGCACAUCUCCCUGAAAUGAGGAAUAAUUAAAGAAUCCAAAAGGAACUUAGCUGGCAAGUUAGAACAUUUUCUGUAUUAAAACAUACUCAGAUAUAUUAGUGAAUAGAAUGGAAAUUGAAAUAUCAAAAUUAACUUUUAGAACGUAAAACCUCAAAUAAAUUAGGGUGUGUUUUUUUCCUUUGUUGUACACUGUGCCCCAGACUCUAAAGGAAUGGGUAUGAGCUCCUUCCUUUUGCCAUUUCAGGGAUUUUAAUUAAAAUGUUUGAGAAAUACUGUCCCAUGUGGGUGACUAAUUUUCAGAUAUUUAGAGUAGAACAAGAUGAUAACUGAAAUAAAUAACUUUAUCAUAGUCUCCUUACUUUGAAUUUAACUUGCUUUCCUUUUUCAAACUUUUCCUAAGGUAAAAACUUAAAUUAUUGAUCUUAGUUCUUUCUUCUUUACUAAUAUAUUUAUUCAAUGUUAUAAAUUUUCCUCUAAGUGCUGCUUUAGCCGCAUCCCACACAGUUGGAUGAGUUGUAUUUCCAUUUUUAUUUAAUUCAAAAUACAUUUUAUUUCUGAGAUUUCUUCUUUGAUCCAUGUAUUAUUUAGAAGUGUGUUGCCUAAUCUUCAGUAUUUAAUUCCUUUGUAGUCUAAAAGCAAACAUUGAAUGAUUUCUGGGCUUUUAAAUUUAUUAGUGUGUGUUUUAUAGCCCAAAAUGUGAUCUGUUUUGAUAAAUGCUCAUGUGAGCUUGAGAAAGAAUGUGUAUUUGGACAAAAUAGUCCAUUAUAUCCAGUUGGUUGAUGGUGUUGUGGAGUUCAAUUAUGUCCUUACUGAUUUUCUGCCUGCUGGAUCUGCUUAUUUCUGAUAGAGGAGUGUUGAAGUCUCCAACUCUGAUAAUGGAUUUAUCUAUUUUUCCUUGCAAUUCAAUUAAUUUUUGCCUCAUGUAUUUUGACAUUCUGUUGUUAGGUGCACACACGUUAAAGAUUGUUAUGUAACUUCAUCAUUCUUUAAUGAUUCAGAAGCUACUUCAGGGUCUCUCAGUGCCUGAAGGUCAUCACUAGUAAACUCUGAUCCCCAUAUGGUACCUGUAAUUAUUGCAGAACUUCCAUUACUACCUGUGAAUUGUAAGUUCCAGUGAGUAGUUUUCUCCCUGACUUAGUUAAGCAAAAUUCUGCUCUAUUUUAAAUUUCCUUUGGGGAGAAAAAAAGUACAAAAGGCAUAACUCCAAGUUCCUAUAUUGGGAUCAAAUGCUAUAUCAAGAGAAUGGGACCUCUGAUGAAGGCCAUCAUUUCAAGUAAGUUCUUAUUUUGAACCUUCUGUAGUUGUAAAAGGUUUUGGUGAAUGAACUGGUUAUGCCCCAGUGAAUAACUUAAAAGUUAGAGAUUUACGCUUAGGAAAACAACAUCAACUCACUGUGUAAUGUGAGCUUAUUUCUCGUGAAGUGCCUCUUUCCCUUACUGUGGAAGGGAGGGGAAAAUAAACAAAAGUCCUUUCAACUAAA